rnacentral:rRNA from 1 species
UAGUCCACGCUGUAAACGAUGAUCACUCGUCAUUGGCGAUACACAGUCAGUGACCUAGCGAAAGCGUUAAGUGAUCCACCUGGGGAGUACGUUCGCAAGAAUGAAACUCAAAGGAAUUGACGGGGGCCCGCACAAGCGGUGGAGCAUGUGGUUUAAUUCGAUGAUACGCGAGGAACCUUACCAGGGCUCAAACGCACUACGACAGGGGUGGAAACAUCCUUUUCUUCGGACGGAGUGCGAGGUGCUGCAUGGUCGUCGUCAGCUCGUGCCGUGAGGUGUCGGGUUAAGUCCCAUAACGAGCGCAACCCCUAUCUUUAGUUGCCAGCGAGUAAUGUCGGGGACUCUAGAGAAACUGCCUACGUAAGUAGUGAGGAAGGUGGGGAUGACGUCAGAUCAUCACGGCCCUUACGUCCUGGGCCACACACGUGCUACAAUGGCGUGUACAGAGGGAAGCUACCGCGCGAGCGGAUGCCGAUCUCCAAAACNCGUCUCAGUUCGGAUC